rnacentral:lncRNA from 1 species
AAACGUAGUUUAAUGGUAAAGCUCAGCACACUCCAGCACCAGGACUGGCAUGGAGUCAAAGCAGCAGGGACGGCCGGGUGACCCCAUGGAGCCUCACAUGGCGAAGAGGAUGAGGAAGGCGACCAUCAAACAGAAGAGCCCCAUGGCCUCAGACAGGGCAAAGCCCAGGAUGGCAUAGGAGAAGAGCUGCUGCUUGAGAGACGGGUUCCUGCCAGAGACAGGAAAGGCCAAUAAUCAAGCUACCAAACACUGUGCCAAUGCCAGCCCCUGAUCCAGCCACACCAACUGUGGCGGCCCCAGCACCAAUAAACUUGGCUGCUGUGUCAAUGUCCCGGGAAAUAACACUGGUCUGGAAUUCCCGUCUGGCCACCUGGAGAGGGGAGCUGCAGCAGGAAGGCUUUUUAGAUGGAGCCUCUGGUCUACUCAGGAGGGAGGCAGACACAGGCCUGAUUAGACCCCUGGUACAGGAGCGGAUCUAACUGGAGAAAUGAGCAGUGCCUUGGUGGUCUGCAUUUUUCAAUCUGCAAGAAGAAGGGGGUGAAAAAAGGUAACUCUUAUGAAAACCCAGGUGUCUGCUGAUACUGGCAACCUCCUGUCGUUCCCAUCCACCUCCAAUCGUUCUCCCCCAACCCUCUUCCUAUACUCCAACUAAGGAGGGCAUUAGAGGUCAGAAGGACAGAGCAGAUUCCGGGGUCAACCACUUUCUGCGCAGCGGGUCUGCA